rnacentral:misc_RNA from 1 species
CAGUAUUGACUGCUUUGUAGUCUUACUCAACACUCAACCACCGUGCAUUGUUUCGUGGCGUUCGCGUCACCACACUUUCACCACUGAUUGAGUAACACAUACAUAAAAUACGCAUA